AGCCUCCAUGACCCCUCCUCGCUCACCUUUCUCUCUUGCCUGAGCCAAGAGCUACACUUUCUAUAUCCACCACUUCACCGUGCAAACCCCAUGCACACGCCUUGACAGAAGCUGAGCUAGCUUCUCCUGCGUCGCUGCAAGCUGCUACUUUGGUUCGUGACUGAAAGCCAAAUGGAAGAUACGGAUCAGGAGCUAUGCACCGUUGCGGUGGAGAUGAUGAGUUCAGGAAAACUCAAGCCAUGUAGACACUUGUUGUUCUAUCAAGACUCCCUUCACCGAGAAGCAUCCAUAAAAAUGGUUCAUGUUUAGCAAUAGCACGGUGUUAUCCUAACUGAGCUUUUCUUCUAGCCACCGUCCACAUCCUUCUUCAAAACCUCAACAUCACUUUGUGUGGGAAUUAAAAGGAAUUGGUCUUCUUGACCUUGCAAGACCUUUUCUUGACCUUGUAAGACCCAACAUCGUUGUGUUGUUUUUCUUGUUUCUUAUUUUUCAAUUUCAUCCACCUCUUCUUUCUACCUCCCAUCUUUCUCCUAGUUCUUGCCUUCUCUCUCGGUCUAUCCCUCCUGAGCUGUAUUGAUCACUUUCUAUGUUAUUUUCUCGAUGUUUAAAAGAAAAUUAAUUUUGUUUAGCAAUAUACGAAGAGAUUGUGAAAUUCUAGUAUACCUGUAAAUUGUAAUAUUAUUGCUUGCGUGAUAUAAUUUGUAAUAUUAUUAUUGCUUGCGUGAUAUAAUGUAUUUCUGCAGUCAGAGUGCA
rnacentral:siRNA from 1 species